rnacentral:ncRNA from 1 species
AGCUCAACGGAUAAAAGUUACUCCGGGGAUAACAGGCUGAUCAGGUCCAAGAGUCCACAUCGACGACCUGGUUUGGCACCUCGAUGUCGGCUCGUCGCAUCCUGGGGGUGAAGAAGCUCCCAAGGGUUUGGCUGUUCGCCAAUUAAAGCGGCACGUGAGCUGGGUUCAGAACGUCGUGAGACAGUAAGACCUUGCUGUCUAUAAAUUCGGCUAUAUGCUGGAAACUCUGAAAACCUCCAAGGAGAUUAGGAGGUUGAAGAAUCUCACACUACAUGCUAGUAUGCAUGUAAUAAUGUGUUGAGUGCAGACAACCAGCAGGGAAGGUCAAAAAGAAGUUGUCUACAUCCGUGGUAUGUAAGUGGUUUUGUUGAUGGAGAAGGUUCGUUUCAUGUGGCGAUCUAUCGUGAUACUCGCAUGACAGCUCAGUGGAAGAUAAUCCCCGAGUUUCAUGUCAGUCAGCGAUAUUCGAGCCGCCACGUGCUCGAUGAGCUCGUACCGUUUUUCCGGUGCGGCUAUGUCAAAGCGAAUCACGCAACAAAUCCCCGCGAUUCAACCUACGUGUACGUAGUAAGGAAUCGUCAGGAUCUUCUGGAAAAGAUAAUAUCUUUUUUUGAAGAGUACCCGUUACGUACCGAAAAAUCGAACGAUUAUAGGAUUUUUACUAAGAUUGUUCGCUCAAUGGAUGCUGGUCUGCAUCGGACAAAAGCCGGUGCGCAGAAAAUCAUCGCACUCGCCUACUCGAUGAAUAAUCGAGGGCACUAUCGGCGGCGAGCGAUGCCAAAGAUUUCUUUUUGAAACCCUCAGAGACUAUACGCCGAACGCACCUUUGCAGGUGUAAAGAUAUAGUCCGAACUCUAUGGCGACAUAGAGAGGCAAGCAGAAAUGACUUGUCCACGUGAUAAGGGUCAAUUGUUAAAAGUCUCAGCCAAAGGCUGAUCCGCCUCUGGCGGAAAUUGUCCGUUGUUACGAAGUAACAAUGUUGUCGGUCUCCUAUCUGCUACGGGCGUAGAAUCUUGAGGGGGCUCAUUCCUAGUACGAGAGGACCGGAAGGGACGAACCUCUAGUGUACCAGUUGUGUCACCAGAUGCAUUGCUGGGUAGCUAUGUUCGGCACGGAUAAGCGCUGAAAGCAUAUAAGCGCGAAGCCGUCCCCAAGAUUAGGAUUCGUUAUAAGCUCCUGGGAGACGACCAGGUUGAUAGGCCUCAGGUGUACGUUCCGUAAGGAAUUCAGCCGAGAGGUACUAAUAAGCUGAUGUAACUACUAAA